AGUGACGUCACGCAACAACGAGCGGAGCGCCGGGCGGCGAAAAUGCAGCGAAUUGGCGCAAGUAGGGGGCACAGCUGGUGCAUCUGCCAGACAUCUCGACACUUCGCUGCAUGGGAUCGUGGCUGAUGGUCAAGAACAAUAAUGGAGCGGCAGCCAGGGUAUUGGAACGUGCCAGAGAGGACGCCAACCAAAGAGAAGGAGUUAUGAAAUCCGAUACGAGAUUCACCAGAGAAGGCCAAGCUUUUACUUGAUGCAGGUAAGCCCUUUCAACAGCUCCCAGACCAUAUCAUCUGAAGACAACAUCUUAUUCUCGUUUGAUGGAUAUUUUGGUGUUGCUGGUUUUUGACCACACCUAAG